rnacentral:rRNA from 1 species
AAUCAACGCUGGCGGCGUGCCUCAGACAUGCAAGUCGAACGAUUAAAGCUCUCUUCGGAGAGUGUAUAGAGUGGCGCACGGGUGAGUAACACGUAAGUAAUCUACCCUCGAGUGGGGAAUAACAACCGGAAACGGUUGCUAAUACCGCAUAAUGCAGCGGCACCGCAAGGUGACAGUUGUUAAAGAUUUAUCGCUUGAGGAGGAGCUUGCGGCAGAUUAGCUAGUUGGUAGGGUAACGGCUUACCAAGGCUACGAUCUGUAACCGGUCUAAGAGGACGGUCGGUCACACUGACACUGAAUAACGGGUCAGACUCCUACGGGAGGCAGCAGUCGGGAAUUUUGGGCAAUGGGCGAAAGCCUGACCCAGCAACGCCGCGUGAAGGAUGAAGUAUUCGGUAUGUAAACUUCGAAAGAAUAGGAAGAAUUAAUGACGGUACUAUUUAUAAGGUCGGCUAACUACGUGCCAGCAGCCGCGGUAAU